rnacentral:lncRNA from 1 species
CGAGAACGAGCUGAAAACGAAGAAACAGGCUGCCAGUGGCAGAAAGUAGCGCCCCCGCGCUAACUCUUAGCGCGCCCGCGCUAGUCCAAAGUCAGAAAGUAGCGCCCCCGCGCUAGUUCUUAGCGCGCCCGCGCUACAUUAAAGCCAACUAGCGCGCCUGCGCUAGUUUAGCGCGGCCGCGCCCAGCAGAAGUGCCCCGGGCCGAUUUUUGAAGCUUUUCUGAUGGAUUUUCGCAGCA